rnacentral:rRNA from 1 species
CACUAUCGUUAACUGAAUACAUAGGUUAACGAGGCGAACCGGGGGAACUGAAACAUCUAAGUACCCCGAGGAAAAGAAAUCAACCGAGAUUCCCCCAGUAGCGGCGAGCGAACGGGGAGCAGCCCGGAGUCUGAAUCAGCUUGUGUGUUAGUGGAACGGUCUGGAAAGUCCGACGGUACAGGGUGAUAGUCCCGUACACGAAAAUGCACAGGUUGUGAACUCGAAGAGUAGGGCGGGACACGUGGUAUCCUGUCUGAAUAUGGGGGGACCAUCCUCCAAGGCUAAAUACUCCUGACUGACCGAUAGUGAACCAGUACCGUGAGGGAAAGGCGAAAAGAACCCCGGCGAGGGGAGUGAAAAAGAACCUGAAACCGUGUACGUACAAGCAGUGGGAGCCUCUUUAUGGGGUGACUGCGUACCUUUUGUAUAAUGGGUCAGCGACUUAUAUUCUGUAGCAAGGUUAACCGUAUAGGGGAGCCGAAGGGAAACCGAGUCUUAACUGGGCGUUAAGUUGCAGGGUAUAGACCCGAAACCCGGUGAUCUAGCCAUGGGCAGGUUGAAGGUUGGGUAACACUAACUGGAGGACCGAACCGACUAAUGUUGAAAAAUUAGCGGAUGACCUGUGGCUGGGGGUGAAAGGCCAAUCAAACCGGGAGAUAGCUGGUUCUCCCCGAAAGCUAUUUAGGUAGCGCCUCGUGAACUCAUCUUCGGGGGUAGAGCACUGUUUCGGCUAGGGGGCCAUCCCGGCUUACCAACCCGAUGCAAACUACGAAUACCGAAGAAUGUUAUCACGGGAGACACACGGCGGGUGCUAACGUCCGUCGUGAAGAGGGAAACAACCCAGACCGCCAGCUAAGGUCCCAAAGUCAUGGUUAAGUGGGAAACGAUGUGGGAAGGCACAGACAGCCAGGAUGUUGGCUUAGAAGCAGCCAUCAUUUAAAGAAAGCGUAAUAGCUCACUGGUCGAGUCGGCCUGCGCGGAAGAUGUAACGGGGCUAAACCAUGCACCGAAGCUGCGGCAGCGACACUAUGUGUUGUUGGGUAGGGGAGCGUUCUGUAAGCCGUUGAAGGUGUGCUGUGAGGCAUGCUGGAGGUAUCAGAAGUGCGAAUGCUGACAUAAGUAACGAUAAAGCGGGUGAAAAGCCCGCUCGCCGGAAGACCAAGGGUUCCUGUCCAACGUUAAUCGGGGCAGGGUGAGUCGACCCCUAAGGCGAGGCCGAAAGGCGUAGUCGAUGGGAAACAGGUUAAUAUUCCUGUACUUGGUGUUACUGCGAAGGGGGGACGGAGAAGGCUAUGUCAGCCGGGCGACGGUUGUCCCGGUUUAAGCAUGUAGGCGGAGGUUCCAGGUAAAUCCGGUACCUUUUAACGCUGAGGUGUGAUGACGAGGCACUACGGUGCUGAAGUGAUAAAUGCCCUGCUUCCAGGAAAAGCCUCUAAGCAUCAGGUAACACGAAAUCGUACCCCAAACCGACACAGGUGGUCAGGUAGAGAAUACCAAGGCGCUUGAGAGAACUCGGGUGAAGGAACUAGGCAAAAUGGUGCCGUAACUUCGGGAGAAGGCACGCUGAUAUGUAGGUGAAGCCCCUGCGGGCGGAGCUGAAAUCAGUCGAAGAUACCAGCUGGCUGCAACUGUUUAUUAAAAACACAGCACUGUGCAAACACGAAAGUGGACGUAUACGGUGUGACGCCUGCCCGGUGCCGGAAGGUUAAUUGAUGGGGUUAGCGGCAACGCGAAGCUCUUGAUCGAAGCCCCGGUAAACGGCGGCCGUAACUAUAACGGUCCUAAGGUAGCGAAAUUCCUUGUCGGGUAAGUUCCGACCUGCACGAAUGGCGUAAUGAUGGCCAGGCUGUCUCCACCCGAGACUCAGUGAAAUUGAACUCGCUGUGAAGAUGCAGUGUACCCGCGGCAAGACGGAAAGACCCCGUGAACCUUUACUAUAGCUUGACACUGAACACUGGUCCUUGAUGUGUAGGAUAGGUGGGAGGCUUUGAAGCGUGGACGCCAGUCUGCGUGGAGCCAUCCUUGAAAUACCACCCUUUAAUGGCUGGUGUUCUAACGUAGACCCGUGAUCCGGGUUGCGGACAGUGUCUGGUGGGUAGUUUGACUGGGGCGGUCUCCUCCCAAAGAGUAACGGAGGAGCACGAAGGUUGGCUAAUCCUGGUCGGACAUCAGGAGGUUAGUGCAAUGGCAUAAGCCAGCUUGACUGCGAGCGUGACGGCGCGAGCAGGUGCGAAAGCAGGUCAUAGUGAUCCGGUGGUUCUGAAUGGAAGGGCCAUCGCUCAACGGAUAAAAGGUACUCCGGGGAUAACAGGCUGAUACCGCCCAAGAGUUCAUAUCGACGGCGGUGUUUGGCACCUCGAUGUCGGCUCAUCACAUCCUGGGGCUGAAGUAGGUCCCAAGGGUAUGGCUGUUCGCCAUUUAAAGUGGUACGCGAGCUGGGUUUAGAACGUCGUGAGACAGUUCGGUCCCUAUCUGCCGUGGGCGCUGGAGAAUUGAGGGGGGCUGCUCCUAGUACGAGAGGACCGGAGUGGACGCAUCACUGGUGUUCGGGUUGUCAUGCCAAUGGCACUGCCCGGUAGCUAAAUGCGGAAGAGAUAAGUGCUGAAAGCAUCUAAGCACGAAACUUGCCCCGAGAUGAGUUCUCCCUGAGACUUUAAGUCUCCUGAAGGAACGUUGAAGACGACGACGUUGAUAGGUCGGGUGUGUAAGCGCAGCGAUGCGUUGAGCUAACCGAUACUAAUGAACCGUGAGGCUUAACCUU